rnacentral:rRNA from 1 species
GACGAACGCUGGCGGCGUGCCCAAUACAUGCAAGUGGGACGCAAGAGAACACACUGUGCUUGCACACCGUGUUUCCUUGAGUCGCGAACGGGUGAGUAACGCGUAGGUAACCUGCCUAUUAGCGGGGGAUAACUAUUGGAAACGAUAGCUAAUACCGCAUAAUAUUAAUUAUUGCAUGAUAAUUGAUUGAAAGAUGCGAGCGCAUCACUAGUAGAUGGACCUGCGUUGUAUUAGCUAGUUGGUAAGGUAAGAGCUUACCAAGGCGACGAUACAUAGCCGACCUGAGAGGGUGAUCGGCCACACUGGGACUGAGACACGGCCCAGACUCCUACGGGAGGCAGCAGUAGGGAAUCUUCGGCAAUGGACGAAAGUCUGACCGAGCAACGCCGCGUGAGUGAAGAAGGUUUUCGGAUCGUAAAGCUCUGUUGUAAGUCAAGAACGUGUGUGAGAGUGGAAAGUUCACACAGAGCCG